AGUCGAUGCCUAUGGCGCCUGAGGUAGCUUCGACCGCGACGUUCCUAGAACAGGCACUGCGUGACGCUGGCACCACGGUGCCGCGCGCAUCGUCGCACGUUCGGCCGCGCGCGGCCGCCAGCGGAUACAAAACGCUCCGGG
rnacentral:SRP_RNA from 1 species